rnacentral:rRNA from 1 species
AGCAGCCGCGGUAAUUCCAGCUCCAAUAGCGUAUAUUAAAGUUGUUGCAGUUAAAAAGCUCGUAGUUGAAUUUCGGGAUCAAUUAAUUGGUCGUGCCUAUGGUACGUACUGAUUUUAUUGGUUUCUCCCUUCUGACGAACCAUGAUGUCAUUAAUUUGGUGUCGUGGAGAAUCAGGACUGUUACUUUGAAAAAUUAGAGUGUUUAAAGCAAGCUAACGCUUGAAUACAUUAGCAUGGAAUAAUGAAAUAGGACGUUUGAUCCUAUUUUGUUGGUUUCUAGGAUCGACGUAAUGAUUAAUAGGGAUAGUUGGGGGCAUUAGUAUUCAAUUGUCAGAGGUGAAAUUCUUGGAUUUAUUGAAGACUAACUACUGCGAAAGCAUUUGCCAAGGAUGUUUUCAUUAAUCAAGAACGAAAGUUAGGGGAUCGAAGACGAUCAGAUACCGUCGUAGUCUUAACCAUAAACUAUGCCGACUAGGGAUCGGAUGAUGUUAAGUUUUUAAUGACUCA